UUGUAGUUCAGUUGGUUAGAGCGUCAGAUUGUGGUUCUGAAUGUCGUGGGUUCGAGUCCCAC
rnacentral:tRNA from 1 species